rnacentral:rRNA from 1 species
UACGUAGGGUGCGAGCGUUGUCCGGAAUUAUUGGGCGUAAAGGGCUCGUAGACGGUUUGUCGCGUCGGGAGUGAAAACACCGGGCUUAACUCGGUGCUUGCUUUCGAUACGGGCAGACUAGAGGCAUGCAGGGGAGAACGGAAUUCCUGGUGUAGCGGUGAAAUGCGCAGAUAUCAGGAGGAACACCGGUGGCGAAGGCGGGUCUCUGGGCCGUAACUGACGCUGAGGAGCGAAAGCAUGGGGAGCGAACAGG